CGGAGCGAUAAGGGAUAAUAAAUGCAGACAUUAAGGAUAAUUAAUGCAUUAACAAAUAGGAUCAGGAGAGGGAAAAACAUUCAGGCCACACGGAGAUUAUUCAUGCUCAUCUUCAGGAUACAGGAUUUUAGAAAGAUGCUGCGGCUUUGGAUCACAGUUCACCCUUCUGGAAGUGCUCCUCAUCUGAUGCCUCGCUGUGCAGAAGUUGUCCAUGGCCUUUCGUCCCGUACCACAAUCAGUAAAAUGCUCAGCCCCGUGUCCGUACAGCAGUGAAGCAGCUCUUCCCUUGUGCUGCUUUUCCUUCCCUCCUGCUCUUAGUGCUGGCGAUGGAAUUGGAUCAUCUGCGAGUUGCUAAGCCGUGUGACUGGACAAAAAGAAUUACUCUUCUUACUUCUAUUUCAAACGAUGAUUGCUCUUCUGAGCAUCUCUUAAGUAUCUUUUUAAAGUACCAUUGAGCCAUGCUACUGCUGCUGUUUCCUGGACAGGGAGCCACUGGAAGCAUAUCGAUUACUCCCAGCAAACCAGAUAAUCAACGGGAGGAAAAUGUAUCUUCUGCCAGGAAUGAAACAGUGUAGUUUGUUUUCCUUGGAAGCAAGGAGGGGAGGAAUGAAAGCAGCUGGGUCUUUGGUUACAGUUCUUUCCGGAAGCUCUUCUCAGCGUGGCACAGCUGUGCGCUCUGUUAUGCACAGGAUGGUGCUGGUAGAGACAAUCUGCCCAUUACUGUUUAAUUCAAUCCUAAACACCGGUAUGUUACAGCAUAUUGUCACUAUUAAUGUGUAGCAAUGUUGUCCAGAUUUGUUAUGCCAUUGAAGUUAAUCGUCUGCGUACUUUUCCUAUAAAUUAUUUUCCUAAACAGUCUGUGCUACAGUAUUCCAUGUUGCAGUCAGGAUCCGUGCUGGUAAGAGUCUCUGUCAGGAAUGAAGGAGAGUCUAGAAAUGGAUACCAGGUUAAAUCUUCUGAAAUUGAUAACAAGGAGCAUUUGUGUGUUCGGGAUUUUUACCACUGAGAAUUUCCAAAGAACCUGUAAAUGUAGCACCCAAUCAGUGAAAUUAGAAUGGCAGGGACCAAAGUUUCAUCCUAAAGAUUAAAGUUUCUGAGGUCAGGCAGAGAAGAGAGUAUAAUUGAAAGUUAUCAAGGAAAUCAUGAGGCAUAUCAUAUAAAACUGGAAAAGUCAGUAUUUGAGCCUUGCUGAAUUGUCAUGUGCAUACAAAUGAAUGAAGAAUAAAUCUUCCUAGCCAAGAAUAGAAGUUGGAAGCAUUAAUUCUCCUGCAAGCAGUUGUAUGUUUAAUUACCACAACAUCCUAUAAAAGUAAAAAGAGGCUUGAGCUGUGGAGUUCUACUAAUUUCUUUAGGUAAUGUAUUUGGAAGCAGAACACAAUAAAGAAUGUCAUGUUCUUUCUAGACACUAUAAUUGUCUGUAUGACACCUUUGGUUGACUAGGUACCACAAGGUGUUACAUAAUACUACAUAAAAUCCUAAGCUGGAACUAAUCAUGGCCUAUAGGAAUUCAGGGAGCAUAAUUAUUCCUUGAAGAAGAUGGUACA